GCAGUUAAAAAGCUCGUAGUUGGAUUUCGGAGUGGGCCAGUUGGUCCGCCGCAAGGUGUGUUACUGACUGGUUUGCUCUUCUUCGCAAAGACUGCGUGUGCUCUUGAGUGAGUGUGCGUAGGAUUUACGACGUUUACUUUGAAAGAAUUAGAGUGUUCAAAGCAGGCUAUUGCUUGAAUACAUGAGCAUGGAAUAAUGGAAUAGGACUUUGGUCCCAUUUUGUUGGUUUCUAGGGCCGAAGUAAUGAUUAAGAGGGACAGUUGGGGGCAUCCGUAUUUCGUUGUCAGAGGUGAAAUUCUUGGAUUUACGAAAGACGAACAACUGCGAAAGCACUUGCCAAGAGUGUUUUCAUUAAUCAAGAACGAAAGUUAGAGGAUCGAAGACGAUCAGAUACCGUCCUAGUUCUAACCAUAAACGAUGUCGACUAGGGAUCAGCGGGCGUUAUCGUACGACCCCGUUGGCACCUUACGGGAAACCAAAGUUUUUGGAUUCCGGGGGAAGUAUGGUUGCAAAGCUGAAACUUAAAGGAAUUGACGGAAGGGCACCACCAGGAGUGGAGCCUGUGGCUCAAUUUGACUCAACACGGGAAAACUUACCAGGUCCAGACAUAGUAAGGAUUGAC
rnacentral:rRNA from 1 species